CACGCUGUAAACGAUGAAUGCUAGACGUUGGUAUUUAGGUAUAUCAGUGUCGAAGUUAACACGAUAAGCAUUCCGCCUGGGGAGUACGGUCGCAAGAUUAAAACUCAAAGGAAUUGACGGGGACCCGCACAAGCGGUGGAUUAUGUGGUUUAAUUCGAAGCUACGCGCAAAACCUUACCAGCUCUUGACAUGUUAUCUCAACUGGAUGAGAGAUCAUCUGGGACACUUCGGGUGGAGGUAACACAGGUGC
rnacentral:rRNA from 1 species